rnacentral:lncRNA from 1 species
AUGAGGACCAAGGGUCCGGAAACGGUCAUAUAUGCCAGACAUGACCGAUUUGGAAACUCAAAAGUCCUAAAUCAUUUAUUGGGAUUUAGGUCAAAUUUUAUUUUUCAACAGAAAUAAUUUCGGUCAUUUCGUUGAGAUUGAGUUUCAAAUCGCCAUUUUAAACAUAUUUUUGUUUUGUUAUCGAUUUUAUGUAAUUAAACUGCCACUCCAGUAAAGUGU